rnacentral:rRNA from 1 species
GCAGUCGAGCGGUAGAGAGAAGCUUGCUUCUCUUGAGAGCGGCGGACGGGUGAGUAAUGCCUAGGAAUCUGCCUGGUAGUGGGGGAUAACGUUCGGAAACGGACGCUAAUACCGCAUACGUCCUACGGGAGAAAGCAGGGGACCUUCGGGCCUUGCGCUAUCAGAUGAGCCUAGGUCGGAUUAGCUAGUUGGUGAGGUAAUGGCUCACCAAGGCGACGAUCCGUAACUGGUCUGAGAGGAUGAUCAGUCACACUGGAACUGAGACACGGUCCAGACUCCUACGGGAGGCAGCAGUGGGGAAUAUUGGACAAUGGGCGAAAGCCUGAUCCAGCCAUGCCGCGUGUGUGAAGAAGGUCUUCGGAUUGUAAAGCACUUUAAGUUGGGAGGAAGGGUUGUAGAUUAAUACUCUGCAAUUUUGACGUUACCGACAGAAUAAGCACCGGCUAACUCUGUGCCAGCAGCCGCGGUAAUACAGAGGGUGCAAGCGUUAAUCGGAAUUACUGGGCGUAAAGCGCGCGUAGGUGGUUUGUUAAGUUGGAUGUGAAAUCCCCGGGCUCAACCUGGGAACUGCAUUCAAAACUGACUGACUAGAGUAUGGUAGAGGGUGGUGGAAUUUCCUGUGUAGCGGUGAAAUGCGUAGAUAUAGGAAGGAACACCAGUGGCGAAGGCGACCACCUGGACUAAUACUGACACUGAGGUGCGAAAGCGU